GAUGAACGCUAGCGGGAGGCUUAACACAUGCAAGUCGAGGGGCAGCACGAUGUAGCAAUACGUUGGUGGCGACCGGCGCACGGGUGAGUAACGCGUAUGUAACCUGCCCUUUACCGGAGGAUAACCCGGAGAAAUUCGGACUAAUAUUCCAUAAAGAUACUUAGAGGCAUCUUUGAGUAUUUAAAGCUACGGUGGUAAAGGAGGGGCAUGCGUAACAUUAGCUAGUUGGGAGGGUAACGUCCUGCCAAGGCAAUGAUGUUUAGGGGACCUGAGAGGGUGAUCCCCCACACUGGUACUGAGACACGGACCAGACUCCUACGGGAGGCAGCAGUGAGGAAUAUUGGUCAAUGGGCGACAGCCUGAACCAGCCAUCCCGCGUGAAGGAAGAAAGCGCUAUGCGUUGUAAACUUCUUUUCCAGAGGGAUAAAAUGAUGUACGCGUACAUUACUGAAGGUACUCUGGGAAUAAGCAUCGGCUAACUCCGUGCCAGCAGCCGCGGUAAACUGU
rnacentral:rRNA from 1 species